rnacentral:rRNA from 1 species
UACGUAGGUCCCGAGCGUUGUCCGGAUUUAUUGGGCGUAAAGCGAGCGCAGGUGGUUUAUUAAGUCUGGUGUAAAAGGCAGUGGCUCAACCAUUGUAUGCAUUGGAAUCUGGUAGACUUGAGUGCAGGAGAGGAGAGUGGAAUUCCAUGUGUAGCGGUGAAAUGCGUAGAUAUAUGGAGGAACACCGGUGACGAAAGCGGCUCUCUGGCCUGUAACUGACACUGAGGCUCGAAAGCGUGGGGAGCAAACAGG